AAAGGUAGCAUAAUCACUUGUCUCUUAAAUAGAGACUUGUAUGAAUGGCAUAACGAGGGUUUAACUGUCUCUUAUUCUUAAUCAGUGAAAUUGACCUCUCCGUGCAGAGGCGGAGAUAAACAUACAAGACGAGAAGACCCUGUGGAGCUUAAGACUAAUAAAUUAAUUCAACUCACUAUUAACCAAGGAAGCAAUAUAAUGAAAUAUAACUUAUAGUCUUUGGUUGGGGUGACCUCGGAGUACAAAAUAACCUCCGAAUGAUAUAACUAAGAUUUACAAAUCUAAGUGUAAUAAUACCAGUAAUUGACCCAUAUUUUGAUCAACGGACCAAGUUACCCCAGGGACAACAGCGCAAUCCUAUUUAAGAGCCCAUAUCGACAAUUAGGGUUUACGACCUCGAUGUUGGAUCAGGACAUCCAAAUGGUGCAACCGCUAUUAAUGGUUCGUUUGUUCAACGAUUAAAGUCCUACGUGAUCUGAGUUCAGACCGGAGAAAUCCAGGUCGGUUUCUAUCUGUAUAUUUAUUUCUCCCAGUACGAAAGGACAAGAGAAAUAAGGCCAACAUUAACAGAUGAGCCUUAGA
rnacentral:rRNA from 1 species